AUAUUGUGCUAUGUUACAUGUAUAUAGAAUGAUUGAUGGAAUGAAGUUGGAAGAAAGUUAGAAAUUUGGAGAAGGAUCUCAAGAGGACUUCGAGGGAACUCCCGGCGAAGCGUCUUAGAGCUAAUUUCUCAAACUUUGACUUUUGAUACUUGGUUUGGAAGUGGAAGUUCUGAGGCUUAAUUAGUGACCCCCAA